AUCCUCUUGAAUCAAAAUUGUGAUUGGAGUCACUGUGUUCCUUGAACAUCUCAAAUUUGGAAUAUCUGAUUUGUCCUCUAAAGAACAUUAGAUGAAGAACAAAGACUGAAUAGCCAUUCAGCAGAGGCUCCAUAUCAAUAAAAGUUCAAUUGACCUAAAAAAUUCAGAAGCCUUCUAAGGUAUUUUGUACAUUAAGGCUUGUGACCAUUUUGGACAGGGGAGUGCAGAAUGCAGCUGGUGCAUCCCUGACACCACAGGAUGAUGGUGAUGGCAGUGGAACAAAGUCAGUGUGCCUGGAAACUUCACCGCCACUAAAACUCAAGUGA
rnacentral:lncRNA from 1 species